rnacentral:rRNA from 1 species
AAAUACCACCCUUUAAUGUUUGAUGUUCUAACGUUGGCCCCUAAUCGGGGUUGCGGACAGUGUCUGGUGGGUAGUUUGACUGGGGCGGUCUCCUCCUAAAGAGUAACGGAGGAGCACGAAGGUUGGCUAAUCCUGGUCGGACAUCAGGAGGUUAGUGCAAUGGCAUAAGCCAGCUUGACUGCGAGCGUGACGGCGCGAGCAGGUGCGAAAGCAGGUCAUAGUGAUCCGGUGGUUCUGAAUGGAAGGGCCAUCGCUCAACGGAUAAAAGGUACUCCGGGGAUAACAGGCUGAUACCGCCCAAGAGUUCAUAUCGACGGCGGUGUUUGGCACCUCGAUGUCGGCUCAUCACAUCCUGGGGCUGAAGUAGGUCCCAAGGGUAUGGCUGUUCGCCAUUUAAAGUGGUACGCGAGCUGGGUUUAGAACGUCGUGAGACAGUUCGGUCCCUAUCUGCCGUGGGCGCUGGAGAACUGAGGGGGGCUGCUCCUAGUACGAGAGGACCGGAGUGGACGCAUCACUGGUGUUCGGGUUGUCAUGCCAAUGGCACUGCCCGGUAGCUAAAUGCGGAAGAGAUAAGUGCUGAAAGCAUCUAAGCACGAAACUUGCCCCGA